rnacentral:misc_RNA from 1 species
GAUGAAGAACUCAGCGAAAUGCGAUACUUGGUGUGAAUUGCAGAAUCCCGUGAACCAUCGAGUCUUUGAACGCAAGUUGCGCCCGAAGCCUCGGCUAAGGGCACGUCUGCCUGGGCGUCACGCAUCGCGUCUCCCCCAAACCGCCAAGGCGGAGGGGAAGGAAGAUGGCUUCCCGUGCCUCACCCGGGCGCGGUUGGCCUAAAUUUGGAGCCCGCGGCACUUAGCUCUCGCGGCGAUAGGUGGUGAACAAGGCCUUGGCCGUGCAAACAACCCGCUGCGAAGCUCUAUGUCACGUGCGCUCGUCGGACCCUUUGAAGUUGCCUUUGGUGACUUAAAACCUUUGCGACCCCAGGUCAGGCGGGGCUACCCGCUGAAUUUAAGCAUAUCAAUAAGCGGAGGA